rnacentral:rRNA from 1 species
UACGGGGGGAGCAAGCGUUGUUCGGAUUUACUGGGCGUAAAGAGCUCGUAGGCGGCUUGUCGCGUCGUUCGUGAAAACCCGGGGCUCAACUCCGGGCUUGCGGGCGAUACGGGCAGGCUAGAGUUCGGUAGGGGAGACUGGAAUUCCUGGUGUAGCGGUGAAAUGCGCAGAUAUCAGGAGGAACACCUAUUGCGAAGGCAGCUCGCUGGGACGUAACUGACGCUGAGACGCGAAAGCGUGGGGAGCAAACAGG